GCUGAGGGGUUGAACCGUGCACACAAAGUGGAUGUUAGCUCCCUGUAAGGAUUGGCAUUUCCUUCCUUGUCUUAUGCAAUCCUUGGUGAUAGCAGAGGAUGGGGGUUAUUCACUUCUUUUUCCUAACUUUUGUUUUACUUUCCAGAUAACAAACAAGAUUGGAUUGAAACUGCAGCCAGUUGGAAUAGCUCUCAUCUGCCCUAUUCACCAACUCCUGAGCCUCUUCAGCUGGCUGCCUGACCUGAGUCUUAAAGGGGAAGCAGCUUCUUCUGUGUUCACAUCACCAACUGAUUUCCCACUGGAAAGAGAUUUUGAAUCAGCAAGCUUAGAUGAAGCCAUCUGAAGAUGUUUUCUCAUUAGAGCACCAAUAGUAUACCAAAAGUGCAGAGAAAGGGUCCAGUGCCAGCCUGCUCUGCAGGUUCCACAUCAUCUGGGUUUGGAAUGUCCUUCUGCAGUGUUUCAAUUUCUGUUCUGGUUCCAUCCACUGUGUCUCUCUCUUCCUCUCUGUUACUCCUGUCCUAGAGUUGCUGCUGCAUCCCCCAUGCUGAUGUGUACUUCCUGCAGGGUACAUUUUCUGUUCCACUUUCUAGAGUGCCUGGGCUUCUCCAAGUCUCUGUCCACUGAGCAUCUUCUCAGUCACCCACCUUGAUGAGGAUCUGCUCUCUUUCUGUUUUCAUUCCAACUUAUAGAGAAGCAGGUGAGUGUUGGCUACCUUGAAUCAA